CAACUUUCAACAACGGAUCUCUUGGUUCUGGCAUCGAUGAAGAACGCAGCGAAAUGCGAUACGUAGUGUGAAUUGCAGAAUUCAGUGAAUCAUCAAAUCUUUGAACGCACAUUGCGCCCUUUGGUAUUCCAAAGGGCAUGCCUGUUCGAGCGUCAUUU
rnacentral:rRNA from 1 species